AGCGAACGCUGGCGGCAGGCCUAACACAUGCAAGUCGAACGGGCGUAGCAAUACGUCAGUUGCAGACGGGAGAGUAACACGUGGGAACGUGCCCUUUGGUUCGGAACAACCCAGGGAAACUUGGGCUAAUAUCGGAUAAGCCAUCAUGUGGAAAGAUUUAUCGCCGAAGGAUCGGCCCGCGUCUGAUUAGCUAGUUGGUGGGGUAAUGGCCCACAAAGGCGACGAUCAGUAGCUGGUCUGAGAGGAUGAUCAGCCUCACUGGGACUGAGACACGGCCCAGACUCCUACGGGAGGCAGCAGUGGGGAAUAUUGGACAAUGGGCGCAAGCCUGAUCCAGCCAUGCCGCGUGGGUGAUGAAGGCCUUAGGGUUGUAAAGCCCUUUCGGCGGGGAAGAUAAUGACGGUACCCGCAGAAGAAGCCCCGGCCAACUUCGUGCCAGCAGCCGCAGUAAGAC
rnacentral:rRNA from 1 species